AGCCAUUAGACGAUAUUAUAUGGUUUAACCUGCCCAAUGUUAAUUAUUAAUAAAUGGCCGCGGUAUCUUGACCGUGCUAAGGUAGCGUAAUCAGUUGACUUUUAAAUGAAGUCAGGAAUGAAUGGAAUAACCGGGUUUGACUGUCUCUAAAUUACUCUCUUGAAUUUACUUCCUAAGUGAAAAAGCUUAGCAUUCGCAAAGGGACGAGAAGACCCUUAGAAUUUUUUUUAAAAAGAUUUAUUAAUUUUUAUGAUUUUAUUGGGGCGAUAAAGAAAUAAUUAAAACUUUCUUUUUUAAUAAGCCGAUUAUAUUAAGCAAGAAUAAAUUACCUGAGGGAUAACAGCAUAAUUCUAAAAUUGAGUUUGUGACCUCGAUGUUGGACUAGGAAACUAGCAGGCUAGCCGUUUGUUAUGUUAGGUUCUGUUCGAACUUUUAUUCCUACA
rnacentral:rRNA from 1 species